rnacentral:misc_RNA from 1 species
GAUGAAGAACGCAGCGAAAUGCGAUAGUAAUGUGAAUUGCAGAAUUCAGUGAAUCAUCGAAUCUUUGAACGCACAUUGCGCCCGCCAGUAUUCUGGCGGGCAUGCCUGUUCGAGCGUCAUUACAACCCUCAGGCCCCCGGGCCUGGCGUUGGGGAUCGGCGGAAGCCCCCUGUGGGCACACGCCGUCCCUCAAAUACAGUGGCGGUCCCGCCGCAGCUUCCAUUGCGUAGUAGCUAACACCUCGCAACUGGAGAGCGGCGCGGCCAUGCCGUAAAACACCCAACUUCUGAAUGUUGACCUCGAAUCAGGUAGGAAUACCCGCUGAACUUAAGCAUAUCAAUAAGCGGAGGA